CCUACGGGAGGCAGCAGUGGGGAAUUUUGGACAAUGGGCGAAAGCCUGAUCCAGCAAUGCCGCGUGUGGGAAGAAGGCCUUCGGGUUGUAAACCACUUUUGUACGGAACGAAACGGCUCGCUUUAAUACAGUGGGCUAAUGACGGUACCGUAAGAAUAAGCACCGGCUAACUACGUGCCAGCAGCCGCGGUAAUACGUAGGGUGCGAGCGUUAAUCGGAAUUACUGGGCGUAAAGCGUGCGCAGGCGGUUAUAUAAGACAGUUGUGAAAUCCCCGGGCUCAACCUGGGAAUUGCAUCUGUGACUGUAUAGCUAGAGUACGGUAGAGGGGGAUGGAAUUCCGCGUGUAGCAGUGAAAUGCGUAGAUAUGCGGAGGAACACCGAUGGCGAAGGCAAUCCCCUGGACCUGUACUGACGCUCAUGCACGAAAGCGUGGGGAGCAAACAGGAUUAGAUACCCUGGUAGUCCACGCCCUAAACGAUGUCAACUGGUUGUUGGGUGCAUUAGUACUCAGUAACGAAGCUAACGCGUGAAGUUGACGAGCGUGGGAGGUACGGCCGGCGUAGGUUAGUUAAACGUUAAAGGUAAAGUUAGUUACGGUCGUUGAGACGUGCCGACGGACGACGACGAGGGAGGAGG
rnacentral:rRNA from 1 species